GACAGAGGGGGCAAGCGUUGCUCGGAAUCACUGGGCGUAAAGGGCGCGUAGGCGGGAUGGCAAGUCGGUCGUGAAAUCCUUCGGCUCAACCCAAGAACGUCGGCCGAUACUGCCGUUCUUGAGGGAUGCAGAGGAGAUUGGAAUUCCCGGUGUAGCGGUGAAAUGUGUAGAGAUCGGGAGGAACACCCGUGGCGAAGGCGGCUCUCUGGGACGGUACUGACGCUGAGACGCGAAAGCGUGGGGAGCGAACAGG
rnacentral:rRNA from 1 species